UACCUCCACGGCUGGGGAGGGAAAAAGGGCUGGAGCUUGAGUUCAGUACCCAAAGAUUUAAUCAAUCACGUCUAUGUAAUGAAGCCUCCAUAAAGAUCCAGAAGGACUGGGUUCUGAGAGUUUCCAGAUUGAAUUCUACUGGAAGUGCAAGGCAAAGCUCAGAAUCAGACCCAAGAAACUAUAGAAACUGUGAAUGGACACAGACUUCCUAGGAGAUGGAGCUAGAGCAACCAGAUGAUCCUAUCACAUUGAAAGCUGCAGCUGACUGCCCUGUAGUGCUAAUGGAUGCACAACUUACUGUACUGCAAACUAAUGAAGGCAUCUAAUCAGCAGGUGUGGGAGGAAACAGCUGUGUACUUGGGAUUUCCACCCUCGCCUUCCUUUCCUGUUCUAUGAGAGAGACCAUUAAAGUAAUUGGACAAGUUUUUUGUAA